rnacentral:rRNA from 1 species
CCUACGGGUGGCAGCAGUGAGGAAUAUUGGUCAAUGGCCGGAAGGCUGAACCAGCCAAGCCGCGUGAAGGACGAAGGUGCCAAGCAUUGUAAACUUCUUUUGUCAAGGGACAAAAUCAGGCUCGAGAGCCUGACCGAGGGUACUUGAAGAAAAAGCAUCGGCUAACUCCGUGCCAGCAGCCGCGGUAAUACGGAGGAUGCGAGCGUUAUCCGGAUUUAUUGGGUUUAAAGGGUGCGUAGGCGGACAGUCAAGUCAGCGGUAAAAAUGCGGUGCUCAACGCCGUACAGCCGUUGAAACUGGCAGUCUUGAGUGGGCGAGAAGUAUGCGGAAUGCGUGGUGUAGCGGUGAAAUGCAUAGAUAUCACGCAGAACUCCGAUUGCGAAGGCAGCAUACCGGCGCCCGACUGACGCUGAGGCACGAAAGCGUGGGUAUCGAACAGGAUUAGAUACCCGAGUAGUC